AAUAGUUCUGUUAUUGAACUCUGGUUGAUGGAACAGACGGUGGUUCUGUGUCCCGGUCCAGAGUAUAGUUCUGUUAUUGAACUCUGGUUGAUGGAACAGACAGUGGUUCUGUGUCCCGGUCCAGAGAAUAGUUCUGUUAUUGAACUCUGGUUGAUGGAACAGACGGUGGUUCUGUGUCCCGGUCCAGAGAAUAGUUCUGUUAUUGAACUCUGGUUGAUGGAACAGACAGUGGAACAGUAUGUUGAGGGAGAGCUAAAUGAGAGGAAUAAUUUAACUUCAGUGUUUCUGUCUCUUGUACAGAUGGAACUACAAACCGUUUGUUUUAUAGUUGUUCUUUGUGCUGGUAACGUCCUUGAAUAAUUGUGUGUCUCAGAAAACUAGCGUAGUGCCGUCUUAAGCCAGAUCCAUCCGUUUGUUUAGACUUCUGUUUAAUCCUGAAUGUGGACCACAAAAGGAAUCUACUACAGUAUGUCUGGGAAGACCCUAGUAAACACUGCCACACAGUUUCUGCUCUAACAUAGACCAGUCUAGCCUAAGUGAAGCAUUUCAUGUAGAAUCCAAGAAUACAACCAGUCACCAGCAGCUUCAUAAGCAGUAGAAAAACAACACCACUCUGUGUGUUGGACAGAUCCUGUCAGGAUAGAUGUCAGUAUGUUGUGUGUUGGACAGAUCCUGUCAGGAUAGAUGUCAGUAUGUUGUGUGUUGGACAGAUCCUGUCAGGAUAGAUGGCAGUAUGUUGUGUGUUGGACAGAUCCUGUCAGGAUAGAUGGCAGUAUGUUGUGUGUUGGAUAGAUGGCAGUAUGUUGUGUGUUGGACAGAGCCUGUCAGGAUAGAUGGCAGUAUGUUGUGUGUUGGACAGAUGGUAGUAUGAUAGAUGGCAGUAUGUUGUGUGUUGGAUAGAUGGUAGUAUGUUGUGUGUUGGAUAGAUGGCAGUAUGUUCCUGUCAGGAUAGAUGGCAGUAUGUUGUGUGUUGGACAGAUCCUGUCAGGAUAGAUGGCAGUAUGUUGUGUGUUGGAUAGAUCCUGUCAGGAUAGAUGGCAGUAUGUUGUGUGUUGGAUAGAGCCUGUCAGGAUAGAUGGCAGUAUGUUGAACCUCCUCUGUGUGUUGGACAGAGCCUGUUAGAUGGCAGUAUGUUGACCCUGAGAACUAGGACUGACCCCUGAGCCCUGAGAAGUAGGACUGACCCCUGAGCCCUGAGAAGUAGGACUGAGCCCUGAGAAGUAGGACUGAGCCCUGAGAAGUAGGACUGAGCCCUGAGAAGUAGGACUGAGCCCUGAGAAGUAGGACUGAGCCCUGAGAAGUAGGACUGAGCCCUGAGAAGUAGGACUGAGCCCUGAGAAGUAGGACUGAGCCCUGAGAAGUAGGACCCAUUUUUUUUUUAUUACCUUUGUUUAACAAGGUCAGUUAAGAACAAAUUCUUAUUUUCAAUGACGGCCUACUGGGGAACAGUGGGUUAACUGCCUUGUUCAGGGGCAGAACAACAGAUUUGUACCUUGUCAGCUCAGGGAUUUGAACUUGUAACCUUUCGGUGACUAGCUCAACGCUCUAACCACUAGGCUACCCUGCCGCCCCUCUCUAACCACUAGGCUACCCUGCCGCCCCUCCUCUCUAACCACUAGGCUACCCUGCCGCCCCUCCUCUCUAACCACUAGGCUACCCUGCCGCCCCUCCCCUCUAACCACUAGGCUACCCUGCCGCCCCUCCACUCUAACCACUAGGCUACCCUGCCGCCCCUCCACUCUAACCACUAGGCUACCCUGCCGCCCCUCCACUCUAACCACUAGGCUACCCUGCCGCCCCUCCACUCUAACCACUAGGCUACCUGCCGCCCCUCCACUCUAAACACUAGGCUACCCUGCCGCCCCUCCACUCUAACCACUAGGCUACCCUGCCGCCCCUCCACUCUAACCACUAGGCUACCCUGCCGCCUAUACACUCUAACCACUAGGCUACCUUCCGCCCCUACACUCUAACCACUAGGCUACCCUGCCGCCUCUACACUCUAACCACUAGGCUACCCUGCCGCCUCUCCACUCUAACCACUAGGCUACCUGCCGCCCCUCCACUCUAACCACUAGGCUACCUGCCUCCCCACACAGAGAAAGGUCCACGUAUAUUUUUGCUAUGAUAUACAUCAUAUUCCUAACUGCAACUCUAUUUUUCUAACGUGUGGGUAGGCUCAUGUAAAGCCUGUUUUCAGAUGAAACAUGAUGAAGCCUUUUGUUUUUAGUAAUAAAAUGGUAUAAUUCAGUUCAUGUUCCCUCGUUGCUAAGAUACACCCUCACUGUUCUGUCAGCCUGCCUGAUGGGUAGCCUGGAAUCCAGGAUGUCUUAACAUUCCACUCCUUGCCACUGUUUGGCAUGACAAGGAUUGGCAAGGAGUGGAAUGUUAGCACAAAGAUGACUGGAUUUCAGGCUACGUGUCGGUCAGACUGUUGGAAACCGUUCAGAACCACAAAUAUUGUCAGAAUGAACGUGAAACACUUUUAAAUCAUGUUUUUAGUUUUGGACAAGUCCCUGAAAUUAACGCCUUUAUUCAAUUGAACCUGAAUUCAUUUUUUCCAUCUGAAAAUGGAACUAGCAGAUCUAUCCAGAUGUCUCUUUUACUUUCUUUUGGCACAAUGCCUUUUUAGUUAUGACCCUCACUGACGUUCAGUUGUCGUGGCCCCCAGUCUGUUCUGGUUAUGACCCUCACUGACGUUCAGUUGUCGUGGCCCCCAGUCUGUUCUGG
ensembl:lncRNA